rnacentral:rRNA from 1 species
GAUGAACGCUGGCGGCGUGCCUAAUACAUGCAAGUCGAGCGAACAGACGAGGAGCUUGCUCCUCUGACGUUAGCGGCGGACGGGUGAGUAACACGUGGAUAACCUACCUAUAAGACUGGGAUAACUUCGGGAAACCGGAGCUAAUACCGGAUAAUAUAUUGAACCGCAUGGUUCAAUAGUGAAAGACGGUUUUGCUGUCACUUAUAGAUGGAUCCGCGCCGCAUUAGCUAGUUGGUAAGGUAACGGCUUACCAAGGCGACGAUGCGUAGCCGACCUGAGAGGGUGAUCGGCCACACUGGAACUGAGACACGGUCCAGACUCCUACGGGAGGCAGCAGUAGGGAAUCUUCCGCAAUGGGCGAAAGCCUGACGGAGCAACGCCGCGUGAGUGAUGAAGGUCUUCGGAUCGUAAAACUCUGUUAUUAGGGAAGAACAAAUGUGUAAGUAACUAUGCACGUCUUGACGGUACCUAAUCAGAAACCCACGGCUAACUACGUG